ACAGUUAAACUGAAAAGUGCACGGCUUAUUCUAAAUAGGAAAUUUUCAAAAGAAAUCUUAAGUAUUACAAUUUUCAUUUAAUAUUUGAUAUAUUGUUUCUUCGAUCAUUAGAAGUGCCCAAUCUUGUUUUAUAAAUAUCUGCGAAAGUUUUGAGUUGAAGAAGUAAUUGUUUACAUUGUAUUACUUAAUUAUUUCAUUUCUUCUACAUUUCAGUAAGUUAAAAUUAAGCUAUAAUUAAGUUAAGGUUCCAAGCUUGGCAGGGCAUUAGAAUGUUAGGUAACAAAACACGUUCAGAUAUUUAAUAAUUACUACUGAUAUCUGCUUAAUUAUGCAUAAUUUAUUGUUCAUUUUCGGGUGAUUAUUAUCGGUAUGCAUUUGUUUAUGCUUAAUGCUCAAAGGCUAUUAACGUAUGGGUCAACUGAACAAUUUGCCAAUUUACUGCACUGCAAUUUGCGUUGAAAAUACCUUGAUUAAUUUUCACGCUCACCCUAGUGCAUAUUUUAAUUGGAACGAAAGGGAUUCACUGUCCCAAUGGCUGUUAGAUGAUUCGGAUAUUUCGUAAUUGCAUUUGUACGGUUUUAUGGUAAUUGGCUUUUUUGCACAAGCAGUGCGGCUAAUGUUGCUAUAAUACCUAUUAGCACUAUGAAUAUUAUUAUAUAUUUCAUAUUAUAUUCGCGUGUUGCGAACAUUUUCAUUUACUUUAAUGCGUUUUCAAACGCUAAUUGAAAUCCUUCCUCAGCGGGCAAGGAGCCGGCUUUAGUUAGCCGGCUUGCCAUCUCACAGUUGGUAAUUAGAAGAACAAACUAAUUUAGUAAAUUACUAUUUAGUGGCCCCUUUCGCAUGGGCCACUUGGCCACAACAUCUGUGGUCCACAAAACGUAGUUUUUGGGCUUUGAAGUUGCGGGCUUUGAAUUGCGCCAAAGGACAUUCGAACAAAUGGCAUCCUUUGAGUGUUUGUAGGUGUGUAUCCGUGUGUAUACAUUGCAAUUGCUGUCGAAACAUCAAAGCUAUGCGAGUUUUCCAGUUGACUUCAUCAGUAGAUUGUGUGAAGUAUGCCAAAAAUGUGUUGGAAGCGCUCGACUCGACCCGUUUUUCCAUUUUCCUCCGCCCGAGCGAGUAGUUCAGCCAACCCGGCUUAAAGUUGCUCUUUAAGCCCCCGGACGGAAUGUUGGGUCAUUUCUCCAAAGUCCGGACUCCAGGCACGUGCUGCCAAACCGGAAGGAACACGCGCCCAAGUCCGGACUACGAAACGCUAACGCGAUUGCCCCGAUGAAAUCCAGUGCGCAUGGUAAAAUAAUAUUGGCCAAGCUUUUAAAAUACAUUUUACAUCUACUUCAGUAUAAUUGACGCGUGGCCUUUGUGAUAUAGUCGAGACAAGGAAAUUUGAGAUCGAAGGCUCAUAAAAAAAAAAAGAAAAGUGUUCCGUGGGUAGGAUAGCGAUUCAAUUAAUUUAACGCCCCAAGGGCAUUAGCAAUAUUGCCAGCGUUCAGAGGUUUAUCUUACAGCAAAAAUUGUGAGCUAAUUGAAAUCUCGUGCUAUAUGGAACACAGGUUCAACAGGUUCAAAAGUGACUAAGAAUGAACCAACCAACUUUAAUAUAUGCAUGAUAUAUAACUAAUGCUAUAUCAAACCUAAAAUUGAAAUGAAUUGAAAAAAAUUAGGAUUUAAUGAAAGUGUAAAAAUUAUGCCUCAAAAACAUGUUUUGUUAGAUUUGGCCUCGCUCUACUUGGAAAUUCUAUUCCCCUGUAGGCUUGUGGGUCCAUUUCAAGAGCCUACGCAAAAAGUGCACAAUCGAAAUAACAUAAUUCACCUGGCAGGACCUGUGCUGUCCACCAACUUAACUUCUCCUCCUGAACCAAAGCCACAAAUUCUGGCACAGGAUAAAUAUGAAAUGCAGCCAGGCAUAAGAAGCCAGCACAGACCAUUGACAGCCAGAGUGGGAGCAAAAAGAGGGUGUGGCAGUCGGGGUGUUUCCACGAUUUGUCCUGCUGUUUAAAAUAGCAAACUAGACCAGGAACGUAAUAUGUCCUCCGGCUUAGCGCCCAUGUGUUGGUAUGGCCAGCUAUUCGGGUAUACGGCUAUUGUCUGACUACGGCUUUACAACUCAUAAACAGCAGACGGCCCACUCCUCGCUGGUAAUAACAGUUUAAGCUCGGGGCUCUGUCCAAAAAUUGUCCACAUCUCGUUGUUUAAUUUUUUUUUCUUCGUCGACCCACCCUCUGUUCCUCUUCUUGAUAACAAGUAUUUUUACAUGUGCUAAAAAAACACAGAAACGGACCAAAGUCGGGGGGGCCAUCUUCGUAGGAAGAUGGAGCUGCCCUCAGGCCCAUCCCCAAUGGGCUCUUCCAAUUUUUGGCCUGACUGAAUGUGCGUUUAUGACUUCAUAAUGGCCAGAGAUGGGGAUCAGCUACAGCAGGAGCAGGAGCAGGAGCAGGGAGCAUCAUCUCACCCCAAGGAUAUGCGCUGCAUUGCGGGGUGGUUGCUCCUGUUUCUGAUCCUGAAUCCGCCGCUGCUUCGGCUAUGGAUUUGCGUAGGCGUGGCGUUAACAUGCGACUAAGUCCUUUUAUAUCAGGGAGCUUUCGCUUAGGCUUACGGCUCAGCCUCAGUUUUCAUCUAUCCAGCUCCAGCCUCAGCCACGGCUACAUAUCUUGGGUCUUAGACCAUCAUCAAUUGCUGUCCCCAUGGUGUAGUUAGGCCCGUGGCCCGAAACUCCAAAACCCCGGUCCCGGCUUAUAUAGGCCAGCAGCAGAAUUUAAUGCCGACCUCUGGGAGCUAUUGCGGCCAGGCCAGGACGAAUGGCCCAGCAACAGGAGUGAUGCUCCAUCCCCGCCAUCUUGCCGUGCAAGUUUUAUGCUCAUGUGUGUGCUGCGCCCUGUGUUUUAUAAACAAUUUUAAAUUGCCGGCCCCCGAAAAUGAGGCUGCUUUUGCUCCUUUGUAGGCAAAUUGUUUUAUACGAGUAUGUACGUUGGCUGCUCUGCAGUUUAUUGGCCAGGUCCCCAGAUUGACGGGGAGUUUGGGGUCCGCAUGCAUAACUUUGCAUAAUCCCAGCGAAACUGAAACUAUGUGCGCCACAUUAACUUGCAGCCCUCAGCAGCACUCACACUAUGUAGUGUAUUGGGUAUAAAUCUCGGCAGGAGAUGAAUAAAAUCCAAGAUGAUGCGGAAAAAAUUAGAAAUAAGCGCAAAAUAAUAAACCAUUCAGCGCGCCAAAGUCUCAAAAAUAAUAUAAAUAGCUAAAAAAAAAAAGAAGAGCGGAACAAAACACGAACAAGGAGACAAACAAACAGUCGUCGUAGCCGUGGGAUACGGCAAUGCGCCAUGUGGCACACAUGCUGCACCACUCAACCACUCAGCCACCGAGUCAUCCAUGCCACCCAAACCACCCAUACCAGUUCCAAAUCCGUGCUCCACCUUUGGAGGCACCCCAGUAGACCGCAUGAUUUCAUCUUUCGCUUUCGUGCAGACAACUUUCGCGAGGAAUCCACGGACCGGGAAAUGUGGAAAUACCCUUUUGUAAAGGGAAAGUAAAUUCUAAUAGUGGUUUUAGUUCAGCCCUUCAACUCUCUGUGUAGAGUUUUCAUAUCUACUAAUAGUAGUUGUAUUGAUCAAUUCACAUGGAAAAAUAUAUUGCCGCUUACUUUUAGACACUUUCAUAAGAUAUGUAAGGUAUAUAAGAUAUUUAUAUUGAAUAGUGUUCUUCAUCUAGAGUAUCCUGGCCUCGUUCUUUAGCCCACUGGGAAUACGAAAUUCAUUUUUUCAUUAAAUUCGCCUAAGCAAAUGCUAGCCCUGCCAUAGAAAAGAGUAUGGGUGAGAUGAUUUAUGGAGCAGACUUCAUAAAGUUCAUAAAUGUCGCGGCAAGCAGGCGGUUCGCAAAAAGAGGUGUGUGUGCGUGAGCGAGUGCCAGUGUGUGUGUGUGUGUGUGUGUGUGUGUGUGCGUGUGUUGGUGAGACAGACACUACAACAACAAAGGCAACAUUAGUAACCACAUUCAUGCAUUUGACACUUUCACCUAGCUGAAAAGGGGGGAAAUAAAAAGGGGAGGGGCGCAGUUUUGCGCAUUUAAUUAACUAAAAUGCUAUAAAUAUGAUUUUAAAUUAAUUUACUUGCGUGAGUUAUUAAAUUACAAAAUGCACGGUGUGUUCGCAUUGGAGUGGCUAAUGAAAAGUAAAAAGAAUUGAGGCCUAAUGGAUGAUGUUUUUGGCUAUGGGUGGCCGACCCAGAUGAAAUCUGGCAAAGUGCCAUCUUGUGUUCCAGAUUUCUAGAAUCUAGAUUUUGGCAAAUUUAUAUACUCCUUUGAUAUACAUAUAUUCCCUGAUGUCCAAUGCUCUGUAAUAAUUUAUUUUCUAAUUUUUAGCGUUGAUCUCUACAUUUUCUUUAGCUGCAAUUUCAUCUGUGUCCCACCUUGUUUUCCCAAAUUCAAUCUCCAUUUUUCAGUGUUAUGGCAGGGCCAACAGAAAGAAGGCUAGCAACCAUCAGAAACUAAUUUCGUGUUGCCCAUGGAGCCUGGCACCUUACACACUUUCCGAUGUCCUUGUCCCCAGACGAAACCGAUGGCGGAAAGCUGCCAACCGCAUUUGAGCCGCCGUCGGGCGUUUCAGAGGGUAUUAAAUUGUCUGGUCGCAUAUCGCGGCGUAGUCAAAUUUCCGCCGUACGUACGGCCAAACACUCCCAAAAAACCCACGAACACUCACGUGGAAAGCCAGGGGCACAGAGCCGGGGCAAUUGCAAUCUCCAAUUUCAAUCAAGAAACCGCCGGGUGGCGGAUUCAAACGCCCUCAGUUGCAGAUGCAGUUUCAGAUGGUGGUGCACAGGGAAAAAGAUUAGGUAUUCAGAUCUUAAGACGCGGGUAGAUGAUUUUCUGGGAUGUACGAUUUGAACUUUGGCUAGAAUUUGGGGUCUCCUUGAUAUUACGAUUGUAAAGUUCUGAGAGAAGGAUGCUCUAUUUAACUUUUCUCAGUGCAUAGUUGCAGGUGCCUCGGAUGCGAAGACCCCAAAGCUGCUUCGGAAUGAAAGUCAAUAUAAAGGUUGAUACAUUGCGCAGCGGAACUGAGUGGAGCGGAACCUUUGAUGCGAUGCAUCAGCCGGCUGCUGACACACCAACCAGGUUGAUAAGCCGUCGAGCAGUCGAUGAAAUGGCGAAUUGAGCUCCUGCGCUCCUUUUUUGGGUCCUUCGGAUUGUCAUUGCUGCUGCAUCCCUUGGCGGAGGGGCAAAAAGGAACAUCAAUUUUGAGAAUACUUCCACUGCGACAGAGCAUUUUAUUAGUCAGCCCGAAAUGGGGAUUCCGCAAUAUGUAAGUAUAUGCUCACUUUUCAGUCAGGCUUAUGGGCCCGCCAAUUUGGCCUGAUUUGUCAGAAUUGAUUGCUGUAAUCCUAGUGGCAACUUUCUCAGCCUUAUUGACAGGCUGUCCCAUAAAAUGAGGAGCUGAUGAUGAUUAAAACCUAAU
ensembl:ncRNA lncRNA:CR45231 long non-coding RNA:CR45231